AAGCACCUGUCCCGUUAGCAGGGGCACAGUCACGUUUGAGUUGAGAGCUGCCGGCGCCUUUGGUGACCAGGCUGGCGUUGUGCUGGGCGACCUCCCCGUAAGCGGGGCUCGGGUCUUUGCUGUAGUUGGCCUUUUGCCUUGCUGCUCCUUUGGCUGCCUGGGGAGCGUGGCCCCCUGUAACGGAGGGCGAGAGCCACCUCUCCGCACCUGAGUGGGAAAUGGAGCUCGCCGGACCCCGAGGCCACCCUGUAAGCAGGGUAGUGCCGUUUCCCUGCCCCUCUUCCUCCCCCGGCCCCUCGGCAUCGUUGCCUGAUGGUGGCUUGUCAAUGCGACGGCCCCGUACUCGGGGUGUGUGUCCCAAGCUUUGGAGCCCUCUGUCCCUGAGCAGCCCGCCCGCCCUGUAAUCAGGUGUGGGGAGGCUGCAGCGUUGCAGCCGGCUGCUUUAGCCAUCCAGCUGGUGGGAGUGACCCCUCCCUGUCCCGUCAGAGGGUGCAGGUUGAGGUGCUGUUUGUGUGUGGGGUGACCUCCCCGCUCGGUGGGUCGAGGUAGCUCCCUGGGCUUCCAAAGACGAGACGUUGGUGAUGUUCUGCUGCUGCCGGGCGGGCCAGCCUGUAACUCAGGCGUUGGCGGGAGCCUCGUGCUCCGCGGGGCUUCUUGAAGAGGGUGAGGUGUGGGGGUACCGUCCUGUAGGCAGGGCUGUGUGUGCCCCCCGUGUGUGCUUGGUGAGCUGCGUUCUGAGAGACCCCCUGUACUCAGGUGGGAAUGUGGCCCCGGCCUUUCAGAGGCGCGGGGCCGUGAGAUGCGGGGUGGGGCUUGCGCCCUCCCUGGAAUCGGGGCUGGGAUCCCGAC
rnacentral:lncRNA from 1 species